GCUUACAGCCAUACCACCCUGAGCACGCUUGAUCUUGUUUGAUCUUGGAAGCUAAGGAGGGUUGGGCUUGGUUAGUACUUGGAUGGGAGACCGCCCGGGAAUACCAGGUGCUGUAGGGG
ensembl:rRNA 5S_rRNA 5S ribosomal RNA